GCAGUUCCCAUUGGCUGGGAACUGCAGCCAAUGGGAGAUGCAGGGGUGGUACCUGUGGGCAACAGUAGGCAGAGACCCUGUGUGCUGUGUCCCCCCCUUAGGAGCUGCUGCCUGAGGAGUGUGUUGGUUGCUUUUGGGAGCCACUCAAGGGUUUUAUUCGUUUUUAUCAAAUGUUGGAAGGCCCAUGCAAACCCAGUCAGAUUACACGGCAAGGAAGCAACAUUCCUGCACCUUUUUUCUAAAUGAGAUGGUGCCUCAAGCUAAAGAAUCCUGGGCACAAUUUCAACCCAAGUCUACAAAGAUGAAAAGCAGAUUUCCCAGUCUCACAGAACUGCUAAUUGCAACAGCAUUUUUAAAAACUAGUGAUGACAGAAAACACUGUGAGUUGCUGAGCGUGAUCUCUUUCUGAAGACAGUGCAGUCCCUAAACUUCAGUCCUCAGGCUAAAUGCAAAAGAUUGUUAGAUAUACUCAAACCUUUUAGUAUUUUGCUAUACACAUAUCCCCAAUCUUCACUUUCUGAAAAGGUUAAUGGGAUCUCUGCAAGAUCAAAUGUUUAUAUGACAGUGGAUUAACCUUUACAGUUAAAUCAGUUUCUUGCAAAUGUAAGCAGGGAUACCUUAUUAUCCAAUAGGGUCAGCAGUUCAAGUCUUCAUUAACUAAGUGCUAAAUUACAGUAAUAAUCAUAUAAUUUUAUACCAUAC